UCCCUGGUGGUCCAGUGGCUAAGACUCUGGGCUCUCAAUGCAGGGAACCCAGGUUCAAUCCCUGCUCAGGGAA
rfam:Ovis aries breed Texel chromosome 12, whole genome shotgun sequence.